rnacentral:rRNA from 1 species
GGAUGAUCAGCCACACUGGGACUGAAACACGGCCCAGACUCCUACGGGAGGCAGCAGUAAGGGAUAUUGCACAAUGGGGGAAACCCUGAUGCAGCAACGCCGCGUGAGCGAAGAAGGCCUUCGGGUCGUAAAGCUCUUUUCUGGGGGAAGAGGAAGGACGGUACCUCAGGAAUAAGUCUCGGCUAACUACGUGCCAGCAGCCGCGGUAGAACGUAGGAGGCGAGCGUUAUCCGGAUUCAUUGGGCGUAAAGGGCAAGUAGUCGGUUGUCAAAGUUGGGCGUGACAUCUCUCGGCUUAACUGAGAGGGAGCGCACGAAACUAGGCGACUAGAGGGCAGGAUAGGGUGGCGGAACUCCUAGUGUAGCGGUGGAAUGCUCAGAUACUAGGAAGAACACCAGUGGCGAAGGCGGCCACCUGGUCUGACCCUGACGCUGAGAGGCGAAAGCUAGGGUAGCGAACGGGCUUAGAUACCCCGGUAGUCCUAGCCGUAAACGGUGGAUACUAGGUAUUGGGGGCGAUAAAGCCUCAAGUGCCGAAGCAAACGCGUUAAGUAUCCCGCCUGGGGACUACGGCCGCAAGGUUAAAACUCAAAGGAAUUGACGGGGACCCGCACAAGCAGCGGAGCGUGUGGUUUAAUUCGAUAUAACACGAAGAACCUUACCUGGGCUUGACAUGUAUGUAGUAGGGAACCGAAAGGGGACCGAACCUUCGGGUAGCAUACACAGGUGCUGCAUGGCUGUCGUCAGCUCGUGCCGUGAGGUGUUGGGUUAAGUCCCGCAACGAGCGCAACCCUUGUUGCCAGUUACAAGUGUCUGGCGAGACUGCCGGCAUAUAACCGGAGGAAGGUGGGGAUGACGUCAAGUCAGCAUGGCCUUUAUGUCCAGGGCUACACACACGCUACAAUGGUCGGUACAGAGGGAAGCGAAGCCGCGAGGUGGAGCCAAUCCUGAAAGUCGAUCUCAGUUCAGAUUGCAGGCUGCAACUCGCCUGCAUGAAGUUGGAGUUGCUAGUAACCGCAGGUCAGCAAUACUGCGGUGAAUACGUUCCCGGGUCUUGUACACACCGCCCGUCACGUCAUGGGAGCUGGCAAUACCUAAAGUCAGCGAGCUAACCGCAAGGGAGCAGCUGCCUAGGGUAGGGCUAGUAACUGGGACGAAGUCGUAACAAGGUAGCCGUACCGGAAGGUGCGGCUGG